rnacentral:rRNA from 1 species
AUGACGAAGCUGAUAGCAUUGAGAAACGGUCUAAUCCUAGUAGGGCAAGUGGGAUGCAACAAGCUUUUGGUACACUCUAACUGUAUGGAUGUUAUUGCCACGAUGAAGAACUAUGGAACUCAGUCGGUGUCGCUGCUGCAGUUUAUGAAGAAUGAUCCUUCCUUUGUAGAGGUUCUGCUAUUGUCAAGAUCGAUCACUGACCUAGAGAAGCCAAUCAAGUUAGCUCAUUUUUUACCUCGUAAUUCCAAGAGUUCUAGUGCUAUUUUGUGGCAACAACAUGAACCACCUGACGUAAUAUUCGCGCACCUAACAAAUGAUGUAACUUUUAUACUCCUUCCGUCCUAA